AGCUUUCCCACACAUCCUCUGAGAAGACUGAGAAAACAUACUUAUAUCAUGGAAUCAUAACCAUUGGUAAACCUUUUUUGCUAAGUUAUGUAUGCAACACAAGAUAUUAUGAUACCAGAGGCUAUCAGUGUGGAGGAGAAGAGCUUCGUCACAAAGAUGACUGCAAAUUUUGGCAGAGAAAUGUAUGUUCAUGAAGAACUCAUUGAGAACUUCAUACUUCCCUAGGCAACGGGUUUCCAGAAGAAAACAGAUACCUUUCCUAAGAACUCCAGUUAAUUAGGUGAUUGGAAGCAGUGUCUUCAAAGCCUGUUAUAUUUUCUCAAUAGGUUAAAUGUUACUCUUAUUGGAGCCAUGAAUAAAGAAAUUCAACAAGCAAAUAUUGUCCUUUAUAAAGGGGAUGUAAUUCAGACAAAAAGAGAAAACCAUGGAAGCAAGAAGCUGAAAUCACCGCAACUGGAAGGAAAGGAAAAGAUCAGCAGAUGCCACUAUAAGCCUUACCAUGAGGCAAAGGAGUCCAGCAUCACCAGCAGCUGUUUUUCAGGAAGAAAGUAUCAUCAGGUUGCCUUGAUUUGGACACUGUCCUGUCCUGAAAACAUAAGCCCAUAAGCUAAUAAAUUCCCCUUGUUAAAAGCCAUCUUAUUUCAUGGUA